AGCGGGUGGGGGAGGGGGACU
rnacentral:miRNA from 1 species